CAAUAGCGUAUAUUUAAGUUGCUGCAGUUAAAAAGCUCGUAGUUGGAUUUCGGGUGGGAAUGGCCGGUCCGCCGUUUCGGUGUGCACUUGCUACGCCCACCUUGCUGCCGGGGACGUGCUCUUGAGUUCACGCUCGGGACACGGAGUCGGCGAGGUUACUUUGAGUAAAUUAGAGUGUUCAAAGCAGGCCUACGCUCUGAAUACAUUAGCAUGGAAUAACACGAUAGGACUCUGGCCUAUCUUGUUGGUCUGUAGGACCGGAGUAAUGAUUAAGAGGGACAGUCGGGGGCAUUCGUAUUUCAUUGUCAGAGGUGAAAUUCUUGGAUUUAUGAAAGACGAACUACUGCGAAAACAUUUGCCAAGGAUGUUUUCAUUAA
rnacentral:rRNA from 1 species